CUGCUAUGGGCAUGGGGGUGUAAGAGUUGAGGAGGGUCCCCGCUACGGGCAUGGGGGUGUAAGAUUUGAGGGAGCCCCCUAUGGGCAUGGGGGUGUAAGAGUUGAGGAGGGCCCCCCCUACAGGCAUGGGGGUGUAAGAGUUGAGGAGGGUCCCCGCUACGGGCAUGGGGGUGUAAGAGUUGAGGAGGGCCCCCCCACCAUGGGCAUGGGGGUGUAAUAGUUGAGGAGGGAGCCCCCUACAGUCAUGGGGGUGUAAGAGUUGAGGAGGGAGCCCCCUACAGGCAUGGGGGGUGUAAUAGUUGAGGAGGGAGCCCCCUACGGGCAUGGGGGUGUAAGAGUUGAUGAGGGAGCUUCCUAUGGGGCUAUGGGUUGAGGAGAGUUGAGGAGGGAGGCUCAUUAUGGAUUAUGGGUAUAAGAGUUUUAGAAUGAGCCUUAUAGAGGUGUGGGGGGUAUUAAAGUUAAGGUUAUGGGGUUGGUGGUGAAAAUUGAGGAUUGAGUCUCCUACAGGGGUGAGGGACAUGAUGGAUGUUGAGUAAGCCUCCUUUAGGGUUAGGGGUUGAGGAGGUAUGAAAGGUAGGGAAGUUGGGGAGUGAGACUCCAAUGGGGUUAGGGCGUGUGAGAGUUGAGAAGUGAGUCUCUUGUAGGGUUAUAGAUGUAAGAGUUGAGAAGGGAGUCUUCUACAUGGGAUUGGCGGGGGGCGGGGGCUCAAGAGUUGAGGAUUGUGCCUCACUAAGGAUCAUGGAUGUAAGAGUUGAGGAGUGAGCUUAAUACAGGGGUAGGGGUAUAAGGAUGGAGUUUCCAAUGGGAUUGGGGUGUGAAUGCUCAGAUACGAGACUCCAAUGGGGACAGGGACAUGAGAGUUUUAUUAGGUAGAAUCCUUCAGGGUUAGGGAUUGAGGAGGGAGCGUCCUGCAGGUGUGGAAGUAUGAAAAUUGAGGAGCAAGUCUCCUAUAUAGGGUUUGGGUGUGAGAGAUGAGGAGUGAGUCUUCCAUGUGGUUGCUAGAUUUGAGAAGUGAGCCUCUUUUAGCAUUAUGGGUAUACGAGGUAAGGAAUGAGCCCCAGGAACUAUGGGCUUAAGAGUUGAGGAGUGAGCCCCCUACAGGCCUGGUGGUGUAAUAGUUGAGUAGUGAGCCUUUCACAGGUGCAGAGUUAUAAGAGUUGACAUGUUGAGCCACUUACAGGGUUUGGGGUGUGAGAGGGAAGGAGUGAUCCUCGUACAGGGACGUCAUAGUUAUGAGCCCACCAUGCACUAAACAAGAGCACCAGUUGCUCGACAGGCUAAGCUGCUCCAUUGUUCACUCUGAAGUGGGGCCUGAGGUGGAAAGCGAAGUGAAGCUGGAAGUGAAGUGACACGCUGCAGGUACACUUGCAAUACGUGAUGAAAAUGUCACAACGUGGGCUGAAGCAAAUCUGAAAUGCUCCUCAGCCUUCUCGACAGAGCCCACCCUAACGGUGCGACGAAGCUCCGAUACUGCUGUUCCUUUUGUGACGCACACAGGAGUGGAGACAAUGGGCGCAGGGCAGGAGCUGUCGUUGGAGGGGAUGCCAACCCAGACAGGCACAGAAAAUGUCUACUAAUGCAGUUGCUAAGUCAUCGAUGAGCAUUUUUUUUUCUUCCAUUACCAUAGCUUGAUAUGGUGACCCAGCUAAUGUUCUUUUUACACAAAAAUAUAACAAUGCAAUUCAAGUAAAUUGAUACAUCAAA